GCUUUUAAACAAGUCUUCCCUAGUUUUAGGCUCCAGCACCUCUUGAUGCAAACCCAACAACU
rnacentral:tRNA from 1 species